rnacentral:rRNA from 1 species
AACGAACGCUGGCGGCAGGCUUAACACAUGCAAGUCGAACGCCCCGCAAGGGGAGUGGCAGACGGGUGAGUAACGCGGGGGAAUCUACCCAGUUCUACGGAACAACUGAGGGAAACUUCAGCUAAUACCGUAUACGCCCUACGGGGGCAAGAUUUAUCGGAAUUGGAUGAGCCCGCGUUGGAUUAGCUAGUUGGUGAGGUAACGGCUCACCAAGGCGACGAUCCAUAGCUGGUCUGAGAGGAUGAUCAGCCACACUGGGACUGAGACACGGCCCAGACUCCUACGGGAGGCAGCAGUGGGGAAUAUUGGACAAUGGGCGCAAGCCUGAUCCAGCCAUGCCGCGUGAGUGAUGAAGGCCUUAGGGUUGUAAAGCUCUUUCAGUGGGGACGAUAAUGACGGUACCCACAGAAGAAGCCCCGGCUAACUUCGUGCCAGCCGCCGCAGUAAGAC